rnacentral:rRNA from 1 species
AUUGAACGCUGGCGGCAUGCCUUACACAUGCAAGUCGAACGGCAGCGGACCUUCGGGUGCCGGCGAGUGGCGAACGGGUGAGUAAUGCAUCGGAACGUGCCAUUGAGUGGGGGAUAACGUAGCGAAAGUUGCGCUAAUACCGCAUAUUCUGUGAGCAGGAAAGCAGGGGACCGCAAGGCCUUGCGCUCUUUGAGCGGCCGAUGUCAGAUUAGCUAGUUGGUGAGGUAACGGCUUACCAAGGCGACGAUCUGUAGCGGGUCUGAGAGGAUGAUCCGCCACACUGGAACUGAGACACGGUCCAGACUCCUACGGGAGGCAGCAGUGGGGAAUUUUGGACAAUGGGGGGCAACCCUGAUCCAGCCAUGCCGCGUGAGUGAAGAA